GAAACGAUACAUACAGCACAAGCCACUGAAUUCUCCUCAAUGGGAGGAGAGAAGCAAAUAUCUUCCAGCAUAAAGGUCCAUAUGAUGUGAACAGAGAGGAUUUCAACCUUCAGUGAGCCCUGAAGUGAAAGCCUUUGGGAGUGCUCAGCAACUUGGACCCACGUGCCAAUAAUUGUGCCAGCUGCACAUAGACGUUCAUUUCUUAUUCUCACGGGGAGAAACACAUUAAAAAAGUACCAAAUUCCCAGAGGCACUAAACUCAGGGAAUUUCUCCCAUCCAGACAGGUCUCUAUGAAGGGCUGCCCUGCAGUUGCUUGCAGCAUGGUAGCACUCAUGGGACAUGAUAGGUGAAUUGGACUGGUGGAAUCAAAUGUCUUGUACUACCCACACCAUUCAUGAGGCACUGUUCAUCUCCAGCACUUCUCCCAGGACUGAUUUUCAAGUGGCCCUGAGCCAUGCCAGAGCCCCUGGCAACCACUUAGCAGCAGAGGAGUCUAUGUCCUAGGGUUGGCACUACCAGUUGCAGGUUGAGUUUGUUAGUUUUCAGUUUAAAAUCUUCAGGGUUACUGUAGGUUCCACAAAAGCUCAGUCCUUACUACUAAUUUAUCUCUGUCUGCAAUUUAAAAGGGAGUGGAGACAUGCACAGGGCUUUAGGGAAAGGCUCUCUGGUGAGGCUUUUGCAGACCCGCCUUUUGCGUGUCAACGUUAAACUGCUGUUAUUUGUCUUCUGAGUCUAUGAUAAGCCAAUAAUAUUCCUGAAAUCAUAUAUUGUUUUCUAUAAACCUCUCAGAAGGUUUUUAGCUAUAGAUCCUGAGAAAUAAGCGUCUGUCAAAUUGCUGUGACAGGACUGAAGCAGUUAACUAUGGAUCCUUAUUUAACUGUACUGUGACAGAAUAAUGCAUAUCAGAUUCUCUGUGGAUCUACCUGCAGCUCAAAGAGCUGCUGAAAAUCAGCCAGUUCUCCACUGUGCUCCUCUGAGCCUCCUCUGACAGAGCAAAAGAGCACCAGAGUACCACUGCAGGCCUCUGACUUGCGUGCCAAAGCCAAGAUGAUGUCUCCUCUGGCAUCAAAUCACAAGACUUCAGCAGCUUCAGUACCUGAUUUAUCCCCAGUAAAGAGCUCGUGAUGGAAUGAUACAAAAGGGUCUACAGAGGAGUUAUAGCUCAACUCUUGCUUGAGGAGAGAGGUGUGAAGGUGGCAUGAUGACCUCAGGGAGGAUUUUGCAGAGAGGAGCUGGGAUGUCCAGGAAGAGCCAGCACACAUCACUGGCUGCAAGGCUAUGACUUGGAGAGAAAGCAAGGCUGGCAAGAAGAAGUCCAUGCUGGUCACCCAGAUUUUUCCUUAGAGAGAAUAAAACUGCUGUAACCAGGUCCCACUCCAUGCCAGGACUAAGUGUUGGUAAAAGAAGGCAACUCCUAUGCCAACUUCUACUGCCUUAUCCUUUUGGAAGGAGCCAGUCUUGUGAGCCAUAAAACUUCUCCAGCAGGCAGAAGUGCUGCAUGGGUGCUGUGAGUGAGAACACCUCCAUGGGAUGGGGAUCAAUAGAGAAUGUGAUGGGGAUGUAGCAGCAGCAAGUUUCAGAGGAGUAGUGCCAGUGGCACUAGUGUUGCAGGACUGGUUAGCAGGUGAGGAAGAGCAGCAGAGCAUUGGUUUGGUGGUGGCAAAUGUCUGAGUUGAACUGAAGCAACGAAGAAGAAGCCAUGGAGGACAUAUUUAGAAAUAGUGCUGAGAGUAUGGGUCUUGUAUCUAGAAACAGAGAUGUGAAUGCUUUAGCCAAAUGUAGUAAUAGAACAUGUAUUUCAUGCCCUUUGAGAAAGAGAUUCUAAUUCUCUAAGAAGAGGCACUGAGCUGUGAGUGAUACAUAAGCAUAUCUAACUGCUGCCUUACUGAGCUGAAAGAAGCAUUUCAGGACUACUGCCAAUACAGGU